AUCCAGCUGGCGAGUCCCAAAUAGGACGAAGCGCGCGUCCUGGAU
rnacentral:hammerhead_ribozyme from 1 species